rnacentral:lncRNA from 1 species
UGGAUUUGUUCUUCUUCGAUUGCUUGUGACACACAUGCAAGCUAUUUAUAUGUAUGUGUGUUUAUAUAGUGCACAAUUUUGAUUGCAAUGAAAGCAACAAAGGGUCAAAGAGAUAAAACAUGAUAGAAUCAGUGAUAGCAUAUACUCUCGAUGGAGAUUCUAAAGGCGAAAAGCAUAUAGGCAGAGAAGUUUUCAAUUUCCCCACGUUGUUCUUGAGGACCUAAAGCCGCAAAUUGAUGCUUACACGCUAGAUUAGAUGUCAAAAAGGUGUUGUGAAUCCAAAUUUGUUGGAUAAUGUCCUGUUUCAUGAUCUUUGUUGAUUGGAUGAUUGAAUCUUAAACACGACAAAUCAUGGAGACGAAAUUCGAUCUUAAUUAUCAAUGGUUUGAUGAGAAUGAACUUUUCUCAAUUUUGUUCCUUUGGCUGCAGAAGCUGAAAGCCUGCAAACUCUUACUUAAUUAGCAUGGAUAGUGGGGAAUUAGGGGCGUUAUAGUUCAAACCUCAAUUUCAUGCAAAUCAAAGUCUAUAUUCAGCAUUGACUAUACAGGUUGAAACUGACCGAAAACCUAAAGAAAAUGGAAAGAAAAGUUUGCACCUUGUGGCUUUGAGUGAACUCAAACAAAAAUCUUUGAGUUCUUAGGGUUUUAAGGUUAUUUACAUAUAGCUUGAUUGGUAUUUUGUGUGUUAUGACAAAAUCGAAGGAAGAAAAAGAAAUUCGAACCUCAAAUAAAAUCGCGUGAAUAAGGUAACGUUAAACCAAAUUAAACCUGGAAUUUCAAAAAAACUAAUUCUUUGUCUUGUGUGACAAAUAAAAUAAUUUGUAUCCGUUUAUAAGGGACAUGGAAUUAGAUAAAUACAAUACACUUAAUUUGCCCAUUUUCUUAAGUUUUCUUAUGCACUUAAUUUGCAAAGAAAUCAGGUGCAUUUAUAAGCAAAGGAGCUUAUAUAACAGUAUCUUGGUCCCUUUUCUUUUUUGACUUGUGUUUAUGGCUGCCAAUUCCAGCAGAUAUGCGGUUGAAACUUUACCAAGGCAGGGUCUACCCUGAAUUUCUUAUCUUGAUAUGAAUUCUAACAUUACAUACUACACUAAUUUCCAAAGAAAAGACAGGCCUUGUUCUGAUUAAAAUGAUCUAAUCUGUUCACAUCGAGUCUCUUUGGAAAGCAAUUUUCGGAUUUGAUUCAGCCAUUGGAGAGGUUCUAAGGUGACAAAUUAGAGAGCCGACAGUCAUGGUAUACAUCAUCUCACCCUUCCAAUUCAUAAAAAUUGGAUUUCAUUUUCAUAUGGGAAAGCUACGGAACAAAAUGUGUAGGGUGUAACUUAAGAAGUAUCGAGCUCAACAAAGGCAAGCAAGGCAGCAUCUAGGGGCCAGGUUUUGCUCUGCCUGAUAAAGAAGGUUGCACAGUUUCUGCAAUUCACUAGUUGCUUUCUCUUGUGCUUGGAUUCAAGCUGGCUUUGGAAAUUCUUUUGCAAAUACGAAUCACUUGCCAUUUUUGAUAAUCACGACAAUUUCUUUUGGGUCCUUGUCAUGGACCAAAGCAGUUGGCAAACAUUAAAAGCAUUCAAGGCUUCAAUUCAAGCAACUAGAAGCCACCACAAAAUAAAAAUCUCAAAAGUAAUUUAUCUUAUAUAUCUAGCAGCCACAUAUACAAUAUCUUUUCUCUUUUAUCCAUAUCCCCCAUUGCUACUUUAUGCAUGAAUGUGCCUUUAGUGGGUUUUAAAAUUAAAUGAAGUAGAA